UGAGUAACCUGCCCUUAACUCUGGGAUAAGCCUGGGAAACUGGGUCUAAUACCGGAUAUGACUCCUCAUCGCAUGGUGGGGGGUGGAAAGCUUUUGCGGUGUGGGAUGGGCCCGCGGCCUAUCAGCUUGUUGGUGAGGUUACGGCUCACCAAGGCGUCGACGGGUAGCCGGCCUGAGAGGGUGUCCGGCCACACUGGGACUGAGAUACGGCCCAGACUCCUACGGGAGGCAG
rnacentral:rRNA from 1 species